rnacentral:rRNA from 1 species
UCUAUACCGCGGAGAGAGGUGGCCAGAAGUGUGGGGGGGCAUAUUUGGCACCAAAUUCGGGCGCCAGGCCUGGAUGCAGGCCAUGUCGUAGUGUGGUGCAGGAAUGGCCCUUCGGGUUCGUAAAGUCACCUUUCAGCGGGGGAGGAAGGCGGUGAAGGUUAUAACCUUGUCGAUUGACGUUACCGCAGAAAGAAGCACCGGCUAACUCCGUGCCAGCAGCCGCGGUAAUACGGGAGGGUGCAAGCGUUAAUCGGAAUUACUGGGCGUAAAGCCGCACGCAGGCGGUCUGUCAAGUCGGAUGUGAAAUCCCCCGGGCUCAACCUGGGAACUGCAUUCGAAACUGGCAGGCUAGAGUCUUGUAGAGGGGGGUAGAAUUCCAGGUGUAGCGGUGAAAUGCGUAGAGAUCUGGAGGAAUACCGGUGGCGAAGGCGGCCCCCUGGACAAAGACUGACGCUCAGGUGCGAAAGCGUGGGGAGCAAACAGGAUUAGAUACCCUGGUAGUCCACGCCGUAAACGAUGUCGAUUUGGAGGUUGUGCCCUUGAGGCGUGGCUUCCGGAGCUAACGCGUUAAAUCGACCGCCUGGGGAGUACGGCCGCAAGGUUAAAACUCAAAUGAAUUGACGGGGGCCCGCACAAGCGGUGGAGCAUGUGGUUUAAUUCGAUGCAACGCGAAGAACCUUACCUGGUCUUGACAUCCACAGAACUUUCCAGAGAUGGAUUGGUGCCUUCGGGAACUGUGAGACAGGUGCUGCAUGGCUGUCGUCAGCUCGUGUUGUGAAAUGUUGGGUUAAGUCCCGCAACGAGCGCAACCCUUAUCCUUUGUUGCCAGCGGUUAGGCCGGGAACUCAAAGGAGACUGCCAGUGAUAAACUGGAGGAAGGUGGGGAUGACGUCAAGUCAUCAUGGCCCUUACGACCAGGGCUACACACGUGCUACAAUGGCAUAUACAAAGAGAAGCGACCUCGCGAGAGCAAGCGGACCUCAUAAAGUAUGUCGUAGUCCGGAUUGGAGUCUGCAACUCGACUCCAUGAAGUCGGAAUCGCUAGUAAUCGUAGAUCAGAAUGCUACGGUGAAUACGUUCCCGGGCCUUGUACACACCGCCCGUCACACCAUGGGAGUGGGUUGCAAAAGAAGUAGGUAGCUUAACCUUCCGGGAGGGCCGCCUUACCCCCCUUUGGUU